CAGCAGCGUCAGAGACCAGCCCUUCGUUCACACAGACAACACACAGCAGGAGUUUCUACUGUUAUUACUGCAGUAGUUGAUGUAUGCUCCUUGACAUGUCACAGCAGCUCUGAAUAGUACUUCAGAUACUUCUUUUCUUUCAGUUUUGCCUCAUUUGCUGCAGUUCACUCAGCAACAUGCUUCAGCCCGUGAUCCUCCUGUUUGUGCUGGGGACCUGCAGUGCCGUAGAAAACCCCGGGAUUGAAAUCACUGUGAACAACAAGGGGCUUCAGUACGGAAAACAUGCAGGUGCUGACUGGAUCCAGGGGAUUUUGGGAAACAUCACCCUCCCUUUUAUGGAUGGCAGAAUUCGCGUCGGGUGUUUUAGUAGUUUAUACUACACCUUUACAGACACCAGAAUAAGGAAAUGUGACCUUCCAGAACCAUCUGUUGAGUUUUCUCCAGAGGCUGCAGGACUGAAUAUGUCCAUAUCAGGCCUCAGUGUUGCACUGACCGGAGAGUGGAUGGCAAGCUUCAGCUUCCUCCAAAGCGUUGGAUCCUUCAACAUGGCCUUAUUUAGUGUGGAUGUGACGUCUGUGGUGAAGCUGGACAGAGACAACAAUGGACAUCUGUCUGUCUCCAGUGUCAGCUGUGAGGCUCAUGUUGAAAAUGUGGACAUUAGUCUGUCUGGUGGAGCCAGUUGGGUGUUCCAGGCCUUGAUGAACCGGCAUAAAUCACAAUUCAAACAAAACAUCGAAGACGGCAUUUGCCCUCAAGUGGAGAAGUCAAUUGCAAACCUGGAGCACUACCUGCAGGUCAUGAAUGUUUCCUUUGAUGUAGAUCACACUCUUGCAGUGAACCUCUCUCUCACUGCUUCACCCGACAUCAAUCCUUCAAGUUUGAAUGUAGGACUCAAGGGAGAAUUCUUCAGUAUUCAAACCCAUAAUGAUCCACCGUUUGAGGCUCAGCCUUUCACCGUGCCUGUGCAGGGAGACUACAUGUUUUCAGUGGUGCUGUCAGAAUACACUGUCAACUCUGCCUUGUAUGGAUAUUACUCAGCUGGACUAUUCAACAUAUUCAUCAAUGAUAGCAUGAUCCCUCCAGAUUUUCCUGUGCAUCUCAACACCAGCUCCAUGGGACCAUAUAUCCCCCAGCUCCCCAAGGCCUUACUGGGUCUGCAGAUGAAUCUGCAGGUUAAUGCCACAUCCGUUCCCAUGGUAACCUUCCAACCCGAUUGGGCCAAACAGAGCUUCCACGCCACUGCUGAAGCGUUUGCUGUUCAGCCGAACGGCACCCAGACACCACUGUUCCAGCUCAGAGCUGACUCAGCAUUCAGUGGUCAGUCAUGGAUUGAUGCUGGAAAAGUCAAAGGGAACGUUUCAGUGGACAACUUUACACUGACACUGAUAAGCAGUGACGUCGGCCCCGUAAAUACUAAAACCUUGGCAAAGAGUACAAGAGAAGGAAUUGAGAUGAUAUUGACGAGAGUGAACGAGGCCCUCAGUAGAGGUCUAGAUCUACCCAGACUGAAACGAGCAAAGUUUGUCAACUCAGUGCUGAAGGUGGAGCAGGGAUUCGUAUCCUUCUUCUCAGACGCUGAGGUCUGGCCGACAGACAGAGGUUUCAACCGACCCAAACACACACAUGAGUUUUUCUAACACUGAAAGCCCUCGACUGUAAGACAAAGUUUGCACUGGAUCCUGACUGUAAUGUUCUCACAGCGUCAUCUUGACAGGAAUAAAGAACACGGAAAUGAGUUUAGUUGUGAGAAGAAGCUGCUGCGUUUACACCGUCAGUCACUCAGGCAGAAGACCAGACAAGGAAGACAAGGAAGCAUGAAACGACGGGGAGUUCAACAGGCUGUUAGAGAGAAGACUUCACUGUGGUGUCACAGAUGAUGCUUUCUAAAAUCAAUAAACAAAAUACAGUUUCUCCACAGUCAAAACAAACA